rnacentral:rRNA from 1 species
UGGGGAAUUUUGGACAAUGGGCGAAAGCCUGAUCCAGCAAUGCCGCGUGUGUGAAGAAGGCCUUCGGGUUGUAAAGCACUUUUGUCCGGAAAGAAAUCCUUGGCUCUAAUACAGUCGGGGGAUGACGGUACCGGAAGAAUAAGCACCGGCUAACUACGUGCCAGCAGCCGCGGUAAUACGUAGGGUGCAAGCGUUAAUCGGAAUUACUGGGCGUAAAGCGUGCGCAGGCGGUUUGCUAAGACCGAUGUGAAAUCCCCGGGCUCAACCUGGGAACUGCAUUGGUGACUGGCAGGGCUAGAGUAUGGCAGAGGGGGGUAGAAUUCCACGUGUAGCAGUGAAAUGCGUAGAGAUGUGGAGGAAUACCGAUGGCGAAGGCAGCCCCCUGGGCCAAUACUGACGCUCAUGCACGAAAGCGUGGGGAGCAAACAGGAUUAGAUACCCUGGUAGUCCACGCCCUAAACGAUGUCAACUAGUUGUUGGGGAUUCAUUCCUUAGUAACGUAGCUAACGCGUGAAGUUGACCGCCUGGGGAGUACGGUCGCAAGAUUAAAACUCAAAGGAAUUGACGGGGU